CUUAGUUCGUGGAGUGAUCUGUCUGCUUAAUUGCGUUUCAAAAUUUAACUUGAGGACCGGGUUUUGGUUUGGCUAGUGGUUCUACGAUGACUGUGAACUGUCAUGUCUUCGGAUGUGCGACUAUUGGUCUAGGAUCACAUGACUUGCCCCUGGGACUCUUUUGAACGCAACGGACGUGAUUGCAACCCCUUGUUGAGAUUAGAGAUAGUCUCGAUAUUCACUGGACAAACUGGCUGCUUUAUGCAGUCUUGUUGAAUGGUGGAUAAACUCGGGGGACUGCUGACUAUAACCAUUUCUCAAAACAGAGGAAGGUUGCGGCAAUAACAGGUCUGUGAUGCCCUCAGAUGUCCCGGGCUGCACACGUGCUACAAUGAGUGGCGCAAUGUGCUAAUGUUUAAGGGAUAAGAGUGUGGUCAGUAGAACGUCGGGAUUUCCCCUGACGUCUCCCCCGCACGAUUAUCAGCCUUCCCUUAACAGGGCGGGCAACCUUUUCAAAAUACUGGUUUGAUGUUAAAGUAUUGAGUCGUUUUUUUUGGAUGGUGGUUUGUUAACCAAUACCAUCCGGCAACUGCUCGCGAGUUUGUGGUUCUGGCG
rnacentral:rRNA from 1 species